rnacentral:rRNA from 1 species
AUCCUGGCUCAGAAUCAACGCUGGCGGCGCGCUUAACACAUGCAAGUCGAACGGGAAAGUGGGCAACCAUGAGUACAGUGGCGUACGGGUGAGUAACACGUGGGUAAUCUACCUCUUAGUGGGGAAUAACCCUGGGAAACCGGGGCUAAUACCGCAUAAGCUCGAGAGAGGAAAGUCGCAAGACGCUGAGAGAGGAGCCCGCGGCCGAUUAGCUAGUUGGGAGGGUAAAAGCCUACCAAGGCAGAGAUCGGUAGCCGGCCUGAGAGGGCACACGGCCACACUGGCACUGAAACACGGGCCAGACUCCUACGGGAGGCA